rnacentral:rRNA from 1 species
GGCGGCGUGGAUUAGGCAUGCAAGUCGAACGCGAAAGUCUGCCUUCGGGCAGGCGAGUAGAGUGGCGAACUGGUGAGUAACAGGUGGGUAAUGUGCCCCUCGGUGCGGGAUAACCACAGGAAACUGUGGCUAAUACCGCAUGUGGCUCAAGAGACGCAGGUUUUUUGGGUUAAAGGCUUUGGUCGCUGAGGGAGCAGCCCGCCCCCGAUUAGCUUGUUGGUAGGGUAACGGCCUACCAAGGCUCCGAUCGGUAGGUGGCCUGAGAGGGUGGUCACUCACACUGGGACUGAGAUACGGCCCAGACUCCUACGGGGGGCAGCAGUCUAGAAGCUUCCACAAUGGACGAAAGUCUGAUGGAGCGACGCCGCGUGUGGGAUGACAGCCGUGAGGUUGUAAACCACUGUCAGCAGGGAAGAAUGCCCCGAUGGCGAAUCGGGGAGAGACGGUACCUGCAGAGGAAGCCCCGGCUAACUCCGUGCCAGCAGCCGCGGUAAUACGGAGGGGGCGAACGUUGUUCGGAUUUACUGGGCGUAAAGGGUGUCUAGGCGGUUCGGUCAGUCUGGUGUGAAAUAUCCUCGCUCAACGAGGAAAACGCAUUGGAAACUUCCGAGCUCGAGAGUGGAAGAGGCAGGUGGAAUUCCUGGUGUAGCGGUGGAAUGUGUAGAUCUCAGGAAGAACACUCGUGGCGAAGGCGGCCUGCUGGUCCAUUUCUGACGCUGAAGCACGAAAGCCAGGGGAGCGAACGGGAUUAGAUACCCCGGUAGUCCUGGCCGUAAACGGUGAACACUAGAUGUCGGGGGUAUCGACCCCCUCGGUGUCGGAGCUAACGCGUUAAGUGUUCCGCCUGGGGAGUACGACCGCAAGGUUGAAACUCAAAGGAAUUGACGGGGGCCCGCACAAGCGGUGGAGGAUGUGGUUUAAUUCGACGCAACGCGAAGAACCUUACCUGGGCUUAAACCGCAGGGUAAACCCCCUGAAAGGGGGGCUGCUUCGGCGAUCCUGUAGAGGUGUUGCAUGACUGUCGUCAGCUCGUGUCGUGAGAUGUUGGGUUAAGUCCCGCAACGAGCGCAACCCUUGCUCUUAGUUACCAGCGCGUAAUGGCGGGGACUCUAAGAGGGCUGCCCUCGCAAGGGGGAGGAAGGUGGGGAUGACGUCAAGUCCUCAUGGCCCUUAUGUCCAGGGCUACACACGUCCUACAAUGGCCGGUACAAAGGGAUGCAAACUCGCGAGAGUGAGCCAAUCCCAAAAAGCCGGUCCCAGUUCAGAUUGCAGUCUGCAACUCGACUGCAUGAAGGUGGAAUCGCUAGUAAUCGCGGAUCAGCAUGCCGCGGUGAAUACGUUCCCGGGCCUUGUACACACCGCCCGUCACAUCACGAAAGUCGGU